rnacentral:rRNA from 1 species
UACAGAGGUCCCAAGCGUUGUUCGGAUUCACUGGGCGUAAAGGGUGCGUAGGUGGCGCUGUAAGUCAGGUGUGAAAUUUCGGAGCUUAACUCCGAAACUGCAUUUGAUACUGCGGUGCUUGAGGACUGGAGAGGAGACUGGAAUUUACGGUGUAGCAGUGAAAUGCGUAGAGAUCGUAAGGAAGACCAGUGGCGAAGGCGGGUCUCUGGACAGUUCCUGACACUGAGGCACGAAGGCCAGGGGAGCAAACGGG